rnacentral:lncRNA from 1 species
UAAAAAGGGAAAGUUUAUUUAUUUGGGUCAAAGAGAACUCUGAAGCAGGGAUUUAAUGGUCUCUUCGGCUGAGCGGGUGUUGCAGAUGGACCAGAAGAUGGAGACGAUUCUGAAGAUCCUGGUGGAGCAAUUCAGAACCCAGACACCUAUGUCAGCGGAGUCGCAAUAAUGAAGAUCAGAGGUCCCGGCUUAGAGAAAGACCAAUGAUGUUGCGAGGCAUCCUUGUUCUGUCAGAUUUCCCACCUGGCCAGGAGCUGGGACUCAUGGCUGGAUAGACCAGCUCUUUCCACGUUCCUGCU